GUCUGUGCUGUAAUCGAUGAAUGUUGAGUGUUAUUUAGAUGCUUAAGCUAACGCGUUAAACAUUCCGCCUGAGGACUACGGUCGCAAGAUUAAACUCAAAGGAAUUGACGGAGGUCCGUACCAGCGGUGGAGCAUGUGGUUUAAUUCGAUACAACGCGCAGAACCUUACCAAUCCUUGACGAUUGAAAUUAACUAAAUGAGAAUUUUAGCAUAAAGUAUCUAUAAACGUAUUUAUAGCUCUUUGUUUCAAGCAGGUGCUGCAUGGCUGUCGU
rnacentral:rRNA from 1 species